CACUGGUUUGCUUGUUUUGUGCCAAUUCAAAUGGGUCUGAGCUGUGGGGCUUUGAAGCUCCAUUUUGAUUAUGACCCAGCUCCCAUCAUUAUCCCGUUUAUCACUCUACCCUUCUGUGUGUGUCUCUCUCUCCCUCCCUCUCUCUCUCUCUCUCCCUCUUUAUCUCUUUCUCUCUCCCUCUUCAAUAUAAACCCCCCCCUCUCUCUCUCUACCACUCUUUAUACCCCUCUUCCACUUUCCCUUGUCUUGCCCACUAUAGCCAUGCCAAAGCUUCUCCAGGAUACCUACUAGCUAGCUCAACAAAAUCUCAUUUGCUUCAAAUCCAUGCAUUCUUAGUUCACUCUCUCACAAUCCCAUGUCAUAUCAACAAAAACCAUUCAUUCUCACAUCACAGAUAUAUAUAUAUUUCUCUCUCUCUCUCUCUGCGUAUAUAUGUAUAUGUAUAUAUAUAUAUAUCCACAAACACACUCCUAACUAAAUUCAUGAAAGGUGGGAUGUUGGGUUGGCGUGAGAUAAGGUCUUAGACUUGAAUAUAUUGUCCAAACCUAGCUAUCUUCAGGGGUAUUAUGGUCAUGUUGGGCAGCAUUGUAAUUUCCCAUGUUUGCAGGAUAGCUAAUGUGUCUGAGAAAAAGGUACUUCAUCUUCUUCCUUCUUCAUCAUCAUCAUCUUCUUCUUCUUCACAUGGAUGUUAGGGCUCUUCUUUCUCUCUCUAUGAAAGUAUGAAUAUCUGUGAUGACAUGCUUUACUUUUGCAGAGAAUAAUUAUGGCUUCUGAAAUAUAAAUUUGGCAUUUUACUCCUUGUCACAUGUAUUUUCCAUCAUUUCACCAAACACAUGUAACGAGGGCUUAUGGCUUCGGCCCAAAUUCCGGUAAAAAUUAGAAGCAGCUGGUUAAGAAGCUCGCUUGGUCCCUGACAACAUGGAAGUUACAACUUUCCUUACAUAUUGCCCAUCAUGACAUGACAUCCAUUCAUCUAUCCAUCCAUCCAUCCAUCCAUCCAUGUCUAUCCAUCAUGUUCCACGCUUAUCUCAUGGACACUUCUAAUGACCUCUGGUCCUAAUCUUGUUGACUCACCCCAAAAAGGAGCUAAUUGUUUUUCUUUUAACUGUUUUGUUUUUAUCUUCAAGUUUUGUUCAUCU